rnacentral:lncRNA from 1 species
ACCAAAACAAACUAAGUUCUCCGCCUUAUUUUGGCUUUUAGUUUUCUGGCAUGAUGAUUUAAAAUUUUGUGAUUUUGUGUUACAUUAUAAUUUACGCCUAGUGAGAAUGUUAAAUAAUUUAAAUCUUUCGCAAACAUUUGGAAAUUAGAAUAAUUAAAUUGAUUUGUCAAUAUGGUUACCUCUCCAAGUGUGAAAUUCAGAUGGAUGAGCCAAAGUUGCUCACCAUAAUCAAGCGUGGAUUCUGAUUCUUCCCUCAUUAUCAUGCCACAGCUGGCUGUAGUAUUUACAUUUUACAUUCCAUGUGCUCACGGGCAUAUCGACGGUGAAAGUCGGCAAUCACAUAACUCGUUUGCGGUGUCUGAAAAUCUCCGUCUCUACGGCAUUUUUUUAAAGGAGAGCAAAUUGACAUUAUUUCUUGAAGUUUUUGCAGAAUUUUCUUCGCAUUGAGAAGAAAAAUUAUGACAGUUUUAAAGAAUAGCCGUUGAGUAGUUUUCCAUUAAAAAAAUAAAGUAUGACAGGAAGUCUGCGACGUCGCAAACCGAGUUAUGUGAUUGCCGACUUGCACCGUCGAUAUGCAAUUUAUUGUCAACUGAAUCUAUUACAAUUAAAUCAAGUAGGAACAUACUUUUGAGGCUGGAAUAUGAUGUGGGAAGAUUUCAACCCUGAACUUACUUUCACCAAUUUCUGAAUUUUCAACUCUCAGAUGACGCAACUGAUUCAAAGAACUUUACAUCAUAUCAAUGAUGUGAUGUCAGAUCCUUGGUCAGUACCCACUCUGCAAUUUGAUGCUGUGUUUAGUCGUAAAAUUCCAGCCAUGGAACCAAGCGCGGAAGAGGUACGGAGGAGAUUCGGCGAGAUAACAGACCAUGUUAAACGAAUGAUGUCAAGUUUGCCAGUGAUGGAAACCUGGUUUUCACUUCCUAGUGCUGCAUCGUACAUAGAACUUGGAAGCGAAACCGCUUUUGACGGUUCAACACAAGAAACUCUCAAUUGUCAUCUAGAUAAAUAUCUGACUAUCCUGACAUCUCAUAUAAAUGAAGUGGGUUGAAUCAAGAGAAAAUGAUCGACUCAUUGUUGGAGACAGCUGAUGCGUAUAUCAAAAGAGUGCUAAAUGAAAUAAUCUAUAAGCAGCUGGGAGAUAAUUUUGAGUAAGAUAAUGCACAACCUCUUUAUUUUUCCUUAACACGUUCUUUGCCAACC